rnacentral:lncRNA from 1 species
CCUUUUCUCCUCCUCCUCCUCCUCUUCCUCCUCCCUUCCCAACAGGAGAAAUCUGUGCCUUAGAACUGCUGAAUGCUGGCUAGUGAAGGCUAAGAGGAGCAGUCCAGGAAGGAAGAGGGGCUCCCCAUGGUAGAAACAAAGAGAACAUGGCCCGACACCAAAGGGAAAGCUUUUUAAGCAACCCAAGAUGGAGGAAUGGGGUCCACAGUAAGGUAUUGACCUCCCCCACUGUGAGCCGGAGCACAGAAGUUAUUUCUUCUCUUGAAGGGAUGAUGCUUAAAUAAAUCGACAGACCCUCCACCCCUCAUGCUGAGCAAAGAUGUGCCCAUUGGCUGAAGGGCAGAAGCUUGCCUGCCCUCUGACUGUGAAUCACCAAGGCAUCCUCCUGCUUAGCAGACUCAAGUCUCUCUGAGGAAGUUAGCAGCUGCUGAGUCUUCUUUCUGUUUCAAACAUUGAAAGAAAGGAAACCAAUAGACUCACUUAAGGCUGGGCAGGGGACUCAUGGGAAUGGAUUCAGCUCUCUGAACUCUGGGGAUCUGUCCUCUCCCCACCUGAAGGACUUGCUGGGUAGCCAGGGCUUUGCCAUCCAUGUAUAAAGUAUUAUCUUAUCCAUGUUAGGGGAGGGAGAAGAAGGAAAAGUGGGGGGAAGGAGUUCAAAGUCUAGAAUUAAGAAGUAUGGGGAGGUAAUAAAGCUGAGGAAUUAGCAAUGCCA